AAUUGUGAGGGAGAAACCUGCUUGGAGAUCCCCUCUCUUUGCUAAGAGCUUUCCUUUCGCUUAAUAAAUUCUUCCCUCCUCACCCUUCAAUGUGACCACGUGCCUAAUUUUUCCUGGUCAUGAGACAAGAACUCUGAUUUAGCUGAACUAGGGAGCAAAAAUUCUGCAUCAUUUUGGCCUAUACGGGGGUUUGUCAGAAGGGAAAGAAAACUGGAUCUGAGGCAGAUGACAAUGGAAGUUAAGAGACAUAGCACAGAUGGAGUCUCUCUUUGUCUCCAGGCUGGAAUGCAGUGGCACAAUCUUGGCUCACUGAAACCUCCGCCUCCCAAGUUCAAGGGAUUCCCUGCCUCAGCCUCCCAAGUAUCUGGGACUAUAGGCACACCGCCACCAUGCCCAGCUAAUUUUUUGUAUUUUAGUAGAGAUGAGGUUUCACCAUGUUGGCCAGGAUGGUCUCGAUCUCCUGACCUCGUGAUCCACCCACCUCGGCCUCCCAAAGUGCUGGGAUUACAGGCAUGAGCCACCGCGCCUGGCCAAAAAUGCAAAUAUUGUUAAAAUGUAAAUAGGUGGUCUAAGUUAUGUAGGUCAGAUAGUAAGUUUGCUAAAUGUUUUAAGGUUAUAAACUGCUUCUUUGGCUUUUGAGAACUAUUCUACAACUUGCCUGCUUCACAAUUGGUAAGGCCUGGGGAUGUAUGGAAUUAACCACACCCUUAACUAUGCUGGAAGGAGUCACACUUCAUUGGCACCUAGUGCAUAAUUAAAACAACUUACCAGAUUUUACAUUAAAGUUAAAAAUUGCUAAGAGUUAUCAUUAUAACAUGUAAUUGAGACCACUGAAAAUGGAUUCACCUGCAAGGUGUGUAAGAACAGUAAAAUGUGUUUUUAGUAAAAGAUUAUAAGAAGGCAUGGAAUGAAAAUUUUUGCCUGAGGGUAAAGGAUUGUUUUAAAUUAGAUAAGAUAAAGCUAAAGGCUUAAUCAAGUUGUGGAAGGUUUCUAAAAACUGAUCUUGCAAAAGAAAUGCUGUGUGUGAACAUAGAAUAGAAUAAAUUCAAAACGGUAUUAUAUGUUUUUUAUGUAAAUUGAGCAUUGAAAUAAAAGAACAAGAAGGUUUCCUUAAGGUGCUCAUCUGCUCUUUAGCAAAAUUUGUAAAAGAUUACAAAGGUUUAUAAGAAUCUCAUCUCAUGGUCAAACUGGUUAAGAUUAGAUAGAAUUGUCUGUAAGGUUUUCCUAGAAAAUUGGGGUUGACAUUAAGAGUAAACUAAUGUAAGGGUAAAAUUUGGCUUUCUCUCCCUUGUACAAGAUUUUCAUGUAAUAACAAAGGGAAAUGAAAGAUUUUUGUUUGUCUUGUGAAUAAACUGCCAAGGAAAAGAAAGAGAAGACAGGAGAUAAUCUGGAAAGCUAAGUCUUUCCUCUUAAUGAGUAAAGGUUUUUGCCUUGUUUUGAAAUUAUGAAACAUCAUUUUGGCAAAAUAAAUAAUUUAUGGUAAUCUAGAGUUCUGUUUCAUAAUAUCAAGUGCUUUGAACCUCUAACAUAUUUGACAGGUUGCCCAAAAUCAAAUUUCAGUUUCAAAAUUAUAUUUCCUGACCCCCAGCUUUUGCAUGCCACAGAGGGCCCCUAUUGCAUCCAAAAGAGAGGUAAAUAGGAUUAUUUGACAUAUUUAAGUAUGUGGGAUUGCCAAAAUGAUGCUUCAUCUUCAUCAGGUUAUAUUUCAGUGAAUAAUAUUAACGUAUGUUCCAAAAUUGUAUGGGAUUUCUAAAAUUCUAAUGUCUGAUUAUAUGCUAUCAAUCAUAAUUAAGAUUAUUACAGUAAGUUAUUAUAAACCACAGAGAUAACCAAAUUUCUUUAUCAAUUGUGUUUUUAACUGUAAGUACCCUGGACAUUUUGUUAUUCACAGACAACUGUUGUCUUGUUUUGAUCCUCUUCAAAAGAUGGUUUUAAUCAGCUAUGGAACUUUGACAGGUGCUCUCAAAUGCAAGUUUCUGAUAACUUUGGAGAUUGUGACAUUUGAAUGCUGGAAAAACGUAUAGGACUCAUGAAGAGUUAAAAUGUUCAUGAAUAUCAAGCAGAACAAGAGUUAAUGGAAUGGACUGAACUAAUAGAAAGCUGAAGUAAUCUUUUAUUAACUGUUGCUUAAAACAUUGCUGAUCCUUGUUUUGUUUUUCAGAGUUAAAGAAACUUUUGUUUUGAGCUAUUUACAGUCUUUAAUAAUUGAGUAAGUUAUACUCCUGUGAACAAAAUUUGGAGCAUGUUUGUUUCUCUCUGCCUGGUUCCUCUAGAAUUUGGAAACUAUUUGUGAGUAUUCUUAACUUAUAGCAAUAUGGUUAUUUGCAUCAGUGCAAUAAGAAUCCAUUUUCUUUUGCUGCAGGAUGCAAUUGGAGAAGCUGGUUGUUUUACCAAGGCUUUGACUGGAAGGGUACGCUUUCCUUUAAGGAAUCAAGCUCAACUUGCAGAGCUGAUAAAAGCCCCUUGGGAAAACUGGCUUCAUACCUUGUCUACACAGUCCCUGUAUAGGGUUCCUACCCUGUAUGGGGAGUAAAGAAUGUCACUUUCUAACAGGCCCAGGAACCCCAUGUCCUUGGGACCUCAAGAAGAAAGGAAUUUACCCAACUCGUAGGUAUUUGGGGUACAAACACAUGGCUAGGCUCAACUUUAAAAGGUGUUAUCUGAGAUUCCUUGUGGAACAGAGUUCCUUCAAAUCCAGUUUGAAAAGCCUAUGUAAAAAUAAUUAUUUUUGUUGCACUUUAUGCAAAUAAGCAGGCCAAAUAUAAGACUAAAGUUUAUUUUGCAAACAACUCAGUCCUAUCAUGAUUUGUUUUUAACAAAAAUGAGGACUGGAGAGAGAGAAAUUAUGUCUCAAACCUUAUCAUACAUCUGUCAUUAAAUUCUAGACCAAU